rnacentral:rRNA from 1 species
AGUGAACGCUGGCGGUAGGCCUAACACAUGCAAGUCGAACGGCAGCACAGUAAGAGCUUGCUCUUACGGGUGGCGAGUGGCGGACGGGUGAGGAAUACAUCGGAAUCUACUUUUUCGUGGGGGAUAACGUAGGGAAACUUACGCUAAUACCGCAUACCACCUACGGGUGAAAGCAGGGGAUCUUCUGACCUUGCGCGGUUGAAUGAGCCGAUGUCGGAUUAGCUAGUUGGCGGGGUAAAGGCCCACCAAGGCGACGAUCCGUAGCUGGUCUGAGAGGAUGAUCAGCCACACUGGAACUGAGACACGGUCCAGACUCCUACGGGAGGCAGCAGUGGGGAAUAUUGGACAAUGGGCGCAAGCCUGAUCCAGCCAUACCGCGUGGGUGAAGAAGGCCUUCGGGUUGUAAAGCCCUUUUGUUGGGAAAGAAAAGCAGCAGGUUAAUACCCCGCUGUUCUGACGGUACCCAAAGAAUAAGCACCGGCUAACUUCGUG